rnacentral:rRNA from 1 species
GAUGAACGCUAGCGAUAGGCCUAACACAUGCAAGUCGAGGGGCAGCAUAAGGAAGUAGCAAUACUUUCUGGUGGCGACCGGCGCACGGGUGAGUAACACGUAUGCAACCUGCCUUCAACAAGGGCAUAACCCGUUGAAAGACGGACUAAUACCCUAUAAUACAGGGGCCCCGCAUGGGGAUAUUUGUUAAAGAUUUAUCGGUUGAAGAUGGGCAUGCGUUCCAUUAGCUGGUUGGUGGGGUAACGGCCCACCAAGGCAACGAUGGAUAGGGGAACUGAGAGGUUUAUCCCCCACACUGGUACUGAGACACGGACCAGACUCCUACGGGAGGCAGCAGUGAGGAAUAUUGGUCAAUGGGCGAGAGCCUGAACCAGCCAAGUCGCGUGCAGGAAGAAUGUCCUAUGGAUUGUAAACUGCUUUUGCAGGGGGAAUAAAGUGGCCACGUGUGGUUUUUUGUAUGUACUCUGCGAAUAAGGAUCGGCUAACUCCGUGCCAGCAGCC